rnacentral:tRNA from 1 species
GGCUGUUUAGUUUAAUUUAAAAUAUAGGUUUUGUAGUCCUAAGAUAAUUUUUAUGAUUAAUGGCCU